AAGGUUUUUUCUGGUGGGGGAUGGGCUCGCGGCCUAUCAGCUUGUUGGUGGGGUGAUGGCCUACCAAGGCUUUGACGGGUAGCCGGCCUGAGAGGGUGGACGGUCACACUGGGACUGAGAUACGGCCCAGACUCCUACGGGAGGCAGCAGUGGGGAAUAUUGCACAAUGGGCGCAAGCCUGAUGCAGCGACGCCGCGUGAGGGAUGAAGGCCUUCGGGUUGUAAACCUCUUUCGUCAGGGAACAAGGCACUGCUUUGGUGGUGUUGAGGGUACCUGGAUAAGAAGCGCCGGCUAACUACGUGCCAGCAGCCGCGGUAAUACGUAGGGCGCAAGCGUUGUCCGGAAUUAUUGGGCGUAAAGGGCUUGUAGGCGGUUGGUCGCGUCUGCCGUGAAAUCCUCUGGCUUAACUGGGGGCGUGCGGUGGGUACGGGCUGACUUGAGUGCGGUAGGGGAGACUGGAACUCCUGGUGUAGCGGUGGAAUGCGCAGAUAUCAGGAAGAACACCGGUGGCGAAGGCGGGUCUCUGGGCCGUUACUGACGCUGAGGAGCGAAAGCGUGGGGAGCGAACAGGAUUAGAUACCCUGGUAGUCCACGCUGUAAACGUUGGGCACUAGGUGUGGGGGCCACCCGUGGUUUCUGCGCCGUAGCUAACGCUUUAAGUGCCCCGCCUGGGGAGUACGGCCGCAAGGCUAAAACUCAAAGGAAUUGACGGG
rnacentral:rRNA from 1 species